AACAGAUUUACUUCGGUAGUGACGUUAGGAAAGCGAGCGGCGGAUGGGUGAGUAACACGUGGGGAACCUGCCCCAUAGUCUGGGAUACCACUUGGAAACAGGUGCUAAUACCGGAUAAGAAAGCAGAUCGCAUGAUCAGCUUUUAAAAGGCGGCGUAAGCUGUCGCUAUGGGAUGGCCCCGCGGUGCAUUAGCUAGUUGGUAAGGUAAAGGCUUACCAAGGCGAUGAUGCAUAGCCGAGUUGAGAGACUGAUCGGCCACAUUGGGACUGAGACACGGCCCAAACUCCUACGGGAGGCAGCAGUAGGGAAUCUUCCACAAUGGACGCAAGUCUGAUGGAGCAACGCCGCGUGAGUGAAGAAGGUUUUCGGAUCGUAAAGCUCUGUUGUUGGUGAA
rnacentral:rRNA from 1 species